CCAGCCUGAAACUGCAGCCAGGGAGGCGGAGGCUAUAAUUGGAGCCAAACACGUUGGCUAUUUCCCCAGGGUCCACUUGACAAGCAACCACUGCGCAGAUUGUUGCCAUGAUGGACGUCCCCAUCUGUGUUCUGGUCAGAGGCAGGCAGCCAUGACCGACAACUUUGCAAGAAUGUCCACUCUAAUGGCAGAGACAAACUACGGGCCAUUUCCUCCUCCGGCCAUCCUACUCUGGAGUGUAGAAUUGCUGGUAGAGGAAGCAUCUGCAAAGCCUCAGUUCUCACGAACCGUUGAGCAGUCGGUCUGUUCCAGCAGCCGGAUUCGUUGGGCUCUCCUGCUCCUUGGCACCUGCUCCUGCUCCUUGGGGAACUUGGCAGCCAUCUCCGGAGGCUCCCCCACCCCUCCGGUCAGCAGGGCCCCCUUGCUUUAUGGUGCCUGUCUCCAGCUAACCCACAGGAGGGAAACCAUUUGACUUCAGGAGAUCCCUAGCAGGGAUAACAGGAUAAGUUUGCUUCACUUAAUUGCCUCUGUUUUUAACUUCAACUCCAGAUUAAAAAAUUAUUCCAAUGCCUGGGCAAAGGGGAGCAGGACUUGUUCAAGCAGCCAAGAAUUCAUCAGCCUCCAUCCAUCGGCUUGAUCCCAGGAACUCCCUUCUCUAAGCCUCCUCGAGGGUUCCUGCGGUCAUGUGAACAGAGCCAGCGAUCUGAGUCUUUCCCUCCGUGGUCACCCAUGACGGAGGGUGGGGUAGCCCAGUCUGGUCCAGGGGAGGCCCGAGCAAAACCCGUCACUGGCCACCCAGCUUCUUACACUUUUUAAAAUAAAAUUACUUGGACUUCAGUGAGUCCUGCAAUCUUUA